ensembl:miRNA
GGUUGGGGAAACCUCACUCAUAACCAGCAUCCCAUGUUUUUACAGUGGUUUGUUUUGUGUUUUUCCUCACC